CCUACGGGAGGCAGCAGUAGGGAAUCUUUCACAAUGGGCGAAAGCCUGAUGGAGCAACGCCGCGUGCAGGAUGAAGGCCUUCGGGUUGUAAACUGCUUUUAUAAGCGAGAAAUAUGAUGGUAACUUAUGAAUAAGGAUCGGCUAACUACGUGCCAGCAGCCGCGGUCAUACGUAGGAGCCGAGCAUUAUCCGGAGUGACUGGGUGUAAAGAGUUGCGUAGGUGGCAUAAUAAGUAGCUAGUGAAAUCUGGUGGCUCAACCAUUCAGACUAUUAGCUAAACUGUUAAGCUCGAGACCGUUAGGGGUAAGUGGAAUUUCUGGUGUAGGAGUGAAAUGCGUAGAUAUUAGAAGGAACACCAAUGGCGAAGGCAGGUUACUGGGACGGUUCUGACACUAAGGCACGAAAGCGUAGGGAGCAAACGGGAUUAGAUACCCUUGUAGUC
rnacentral:rRNA from 1 species